CACCGUAAACAGUGAAGAUUCGAGAGUAAAUUAAGGAAAGAAAUCGAAAAAUUUUGUUUUUUUCUGCGUACCUUGAAUCGACGUCGAGCAAAAAUGAAGGGUAUGGUUUGAAGUUGUACCAGAAACUUCACUGCUUGCCUUAUGUGUUGAAGUUCAUCCCAUGGUGAUCGUGCUGCCUGUAGGAGACACAAGAGAAAAAAAUAGUUAUAUAUUCUCCGUUGCUAACCGAACAACACUCUCGGCGAAGCAACAAACUGCCAGAAGAUAACUUUGCAAGUCAAGCUACCUCAUAUCUAAGUGUAGAUGGGACCUGCAGAUCAUUAAGACUCAGUCAAGAAACAGGAGAAGAUAGAUUAAGCUUGAGAUGAAAAUCUUCCAAAGCUCAUUCGCUUACAUGGUUCUCUGCCAUAAAGGUUAAGGAGGCAUUGUCUUUUCUACAGAAGCUGUCUGUCUUCGAAGAGAUUCAUUUUCUGACUCUAGAAUUGCAACCUUAUCCUUCAGGCUGAUAAGAGCUAUGCCUGAUAGAAGAAAGGAAUGUACUAGGCUGACAAAACUGAUCAGCUCACAGAACCGUACCUGUUUAACUCUCCAGACUCUUCGACCCUUGUUGAAGCGGCCAAAGCCUGCUGGCGCAAGACCUGAUUUUCGGAUUCAAGGUUUGACAGGUUUACCUGUUGAUCUUGAAGCUUUCAAAACCAUAAAUGUCGAGAACUCCGAUCAAGCUUUUAGCAUUCGGGUCUUGACCUAUUG